UAGGGAAUUUUGCGCAAUGGCCUAACGGCUGACGCAGCAACGCCGCGUGACUGAUGAAGUUCUAAGGAACGUAAAGGUCUGUUAGGAGGGAAGAACGGCGCUAUAGUAAAUAAUUAUAGUGCAUGACGGUACCUCCAGAGAAAGCACCGGCUAACUCCGUGCCAGCAGCCGCGGUAAUACGGGGGGUGCAAGCGUUGUCCGGAAUCACUGGGCGUAAAGGGUGGGUAGGCGGACCGGGAAGUCCGGAGUGCAACCUGGCUGCUUAACGGACAAUCCGCGUUGGAUACUGUCGGUCUUGAG
rnacentral:rRNA from 1 species